AAUGAAACUUUUUGCGCCGAGACAAUCGCGAAAACGUUUCGUUUUGAUUAGUUGUCAGAAUAUUUGGUCAUCAAUCAUAAUGGUAAAUCUAUCCGACAGUGACAUUUAAUAGAAUUUUAUGAAAACGUCAAACAACCGCUGUUAUUUUUUUGGGAAUUAUCGAAUUUUCGCUUUAAUUAAUUCCUUUUUUUGCUCCAUAGAAUUAAUGUGAAUGAGUGGUGAGCCUGAAAGCGCUUUUGCUGGUGCUACUGCCCCUUGAAGAUAUUUAGAAUGCGGUUCAAAGUCGCAUAACUGAUGGCCAUUUACUUCGUAAAUUAUGGGCAACAAUGCGAAAACAACUGUGUCAAUUUACCGAAAAACUAAGACCGAUUUAUGAGCACUUUCGAAAUAGCUUCAGAUGGUUCAGUGUUGUGCUGGCAAAUAGCCCUGAAGGAGCUGUGCCAAAGAUAAAGGAGAAGAAGUAGUACCGCUACUUAUACCCGGUAGUACAAGAUCGGCCAAUUAAACUCCCCAGAUCGUUACUUAAUAAAUCCCAAGUUUUCCCUAGAUUUUCAAAAAAAAAAUUAUAAAUAAAAAUGGUUGAAAAAAAGAUAAGUGAAGCGAAAAAGGUUAUUGGAAACGGUAUUUUACGAAAUUAAAAAAUGUAAAAAAAUGGAACUCAUAAUUUUGCUUCAAUUUGUAUUCUUCCUAUUUAUUUUUUCAGAUUCAAGUUUUAAGUUAAAUGGGUAUUUGACAAAGUAUAUAUGUAUAUGGAGUAGUUGCAAAUCACACUCACUGCAGGUGUAUUAAAUUUUGCAUCCCAGCAACGAUAAUUUCCGGGAAAUUAAAAAAGACAUUAAAGGAGAUUUUUAAUUAA